UGAUCCUGUCAGGGAAGCUAUUUUUUCUUCCUCUUUUUAGAAAAUUUGGAGUGUAGCAAAAAGGACGGAAGAGGAGAAUGGUUGGAUGCCAAGAAAAUGCCCAUUUGAAGUAGAAGAGCCACCACUUUCGAAUCAUGCUGCCUUGGAACUGUUCAUUUCGGACUGGCAGAACCAAGCAAAUGAGGCUCACUUGUAAUUGUCAGGCCUUCCUAAGAAAUUUCGGAGAAAAGGGAUAUCGUCACUGCUUGGAAGCAUAGACAGCAUCCCUGCUGUAAGGAGAAAUGGGAAUCUGUGGUUAUCUUCAGAUACUGGUGGAGGCACAGAUAUCUUAAUAGACCUUCAUCAGUUAUGAAGGGUAAGACUCAACAGAAAUUAUUUUAUUUGAUACUUUGUGUCGGCAUAUCAAGACUAUUCUAACAUGUGUUCAUCUCAAAUUAAGAUAAAAUAGUUAAUUCCAUGCAAA